GAGACCCAAGAUUUGAACCGAACUGGGCCCGGUCCACUUGACCGGCCCAGCCACCAGUUCCGGCCUCACGUGCGUUGCACGUGAGGGCACACGGUGAGGAGGUGGAGGGGAUCCAUCCCGAAGAAGCCGGGAUCCCCUGUUUUAGGGCAUUCUCCUCCUCCCCUUUGAGACCACUCGAGGUAGAGCCGCCAUGCCCGAGUUCUUCCUCCUCGGGCUGCCGGCAGAGAGAGAGA
rnacentral:lncRNA from 1 species